rnacentral:rRNA from 1 species
UACGGGGGGGGCAAGCGUUGUUCGGAAUUACUGGGCGUAAAGGGCGCGUAGGCGGCCAUCUAAGUCAGACGUGAAAUCCCUCAGCUUAACUGGGGAACUGCGUCUGAUACUGGAUGGCUUGAGUUUGGGAGAGGGAUGCGGAAUUCCAGGUGUAGCGGUGAAAUGCGUAGAUAUCUGGAGGAACACCGGUGGCGAAGGCGGCAUCCUGGACCAACACUGACACUGAUGAGCGAAAGCCAGGGGAGCAAACGGG